AAACCCCCUCGCCGAAAGACUAAGGUUUCCUGAUCAACGCUAAUCGGAUCAGGGUCAGUCGGGUCCUAAGGCUCAGCCGAACGGCGAUGCCGAUGGCAGAAACGGUUAAUAUUCCGUUACUACCUUCAGGAGUGACGUGGAGACGCAGUAGUGACAGUGCCGCCAUCUGACGGAAUAGAUGGUUGAAGGGUGUAGGAGUCGAUCAUGGCAGGCAAAUCCACCAUGAGAUCCGAACCUGACAGUAUGCCGCGUCCUUCGGGACAAGGCAAUAGUGCGCGUAAGCAUGCUGCCGAGAAAAUCCGCUAAACUUAAUCCUGUAGGUACCCGUACCGCAAACGGACACACGUAGUCGGGAUGAAUAUUCUAAGGCGCUUGAGUGAUUCACGGUUAAGGAACUAGGCAAACUGACCCUGUAACUUCGGGAUAAAGGGUCCCUACCCUUUUAUGGGAGGGCGCAGAGAAUCGGUCCAGGCAACUGUUUAACAAAAACACAGGGCUGUGCCAAAUCGAAAGAUCCAGUAUACAGCCUGACACCUGCCCGGUGCUGGAAGGUUAAGAGGAGAUGUCAUCGAUAAGAGAAGCGUUGAAUUGAAGCCCCAGUAAACGGCGGCCGUAACUAUAACGGUCCUAAGGUAGCGAAAUUCCUUGUCGGGUAAGUUCCGACCUGCACGAAUGGUGUAAUGAUCCGGACGCUGUCUCAACCAUGAGCUCAGUGAAAUUGUAGUAUCGGUGAAGAUGCCGAUUACCCGCGAUGGGACGAAAAGACCCCGUGAACCUUUACUAUAGCUUAUCAUUGAAUCUGGGCACGUGAUGUGUAGGAUAGGUCGGAGGCUUUGAAGCAGGUACGCCAGUAUUUGUGGAGCCGCUGUUGAAAUACGACCCUUUAUUUGUUUGGAUUCUAACCCGUGGAACGGGGACAUUGAUUGGUGGGUAGUUUGACUGGGGUGGUCGCCUCCAAAAGCGUAACGGAGGCUUCUAAAGGUGCCCUCAGGACGAUCGGUAACCGUCCGCAGAGUGUAAUGGCAAAAGGGCGCUUGACUGGGAGACAGACAAGUCGAGCAGGUAGGAAACUAGAGCAUAGUGAUCCGGUGUUUCCGUAUGGAAGGGACAUCGCUCAAAGGAUAAAAGGUACUCCGGGGAUAACAGGCUGAUCCCUCCCAAGAGCUCAUAUCGACGGAGUGGUUUGGCACCUCGAUGUCGGCUCGUCACAUCCUGGGGCUGGAGAAGGUCCCAAG
rnacentral:rRNA from 1 species